UACAGAGGUCUCAAGCGUUGUUCGGAUUCAUUGGGCGUAAAGGGUGCGUAGGUGGCGGGGUAAGUCAGGUGUGAAAUCUCGGAGCUCAACUCCGAAACUGCACUUGAUACUGCCUUGCUUGAGUACUGGAGAGGAGAUUGGAAUUUACGGUGUAGCAGUGAAAUGACGUAGAGAUGCGGAGGAACACCGAUGGCGAAGGCAGCCCCCCUGGGCUAACACUGACGCUCAGGCACGAAAGCGUGGGGAGCAAACAGG
rnacentral:rRNA from 1 species